rnacentral:rRNA from 1 species
AUUGAACGCUGGCGGCAGGCCUAACACAUGCAAGUCGAGCGGGGUUUUCGGACCUAGCAGCGGACGGGUGAGUAAUGCGUAGGAAGCUACCCGAUAGAGGGGGAUACCAGUUGGAAACGACUGUUAAUACCGCAUAAUGUCUACGGACCAAAGUGUGGGACCUUCGGGCCACAUGCUAUCGGAUGCGCCUACGUGGGAUUAGCUAGUUGGUGAGGUAAUGGCUCACCAAGGCGACGAUCCCUAGCUGGUUUGGGAGGAUGAUCAGCCACACUGGACCUGAGACACGGUCCAGACUCGUAAGGGAGGCGGCAGUGGGGAAUAUUGGACAAGGGGCGCAAGCCUGAUCCAGCCAUGCCGAGUGUGUGAAGAAGGCCUUCGGGUUGUAAAGCACUUUCAGUAGGGAGGAAGGGUUAAGUGUUAAUAGUACUUAACUUUGACGUUACCUACAGAAGAAGCACCGGCUAACUCUGUGCCAGCAGCCGCCGUAACAC